GGCGCUCUUGGGAAGAGGGCGAGGUUCUCCGGACAGUGGGCGGGACUAGAGAGGCCACCUGCAGACACACCCUGGCUUCUCCUGGUCCCUCUUCCCUCCCUUCCCCCUCGGGGCACAGAGACGAUCCACACGUGGGGUCUCCGAGCUCUAGGGUCCUUUUACGUAGCAUAGUCAGGCCUGGGAUCAGAACGUCAUGUUCUUGCUAAAAGUCUCGGUGUGUCCUAGUUGUUUUAGAGACUUGGAGAGGAAUGGGGGUAAAAAAAAACCCCAAAACCCGAGAACUAUCGCGCCAAGAGAAGUCAGGAUUCUAGGAAGCCUAGGACGCCAAACAAAUGGAGACCAAAAAACAAGACGGGAGGACUGGAGACGAAGCAGGCAAAAAGUCAUCAGCCACGGCUGUUGUACGGUGUGUUUCACCUCUCCUACCAAGCCUUCAUCCCUGUCUAUGAGGACGAAGAAGUUACCGGGGAAAUUGGUGAUGGGCCUGGCUGUCCUGGAGAAUGCUCUUGAUUAAGUUGGUGAUAGAAAACGGGAGAACUGAAGACAAGCACUUUAUAAACUCCCUUGUCUGCUUGAAUUUGUAGUGCUGAAAUUCAUGGGUUAAGGCUAUGCUCCUGCAUCAACUACAGAUGGAUCUGGACCCUGGUGUAUUCUCCCUGUGGACCAACAGCUGUCAGAAGACAUUGACACAGGAAGUCAAGGGGCAGGAUCUCCAUCCUCCCAGUUUCUUUGGUUUUACAUAGAACUAAGUGAUCCCGGAGAUCGCUCUCAAGACCAGGAAUCCAUCAGCUUCAGGGGCAAGCAGGGAGGCAGAAAGCUGCUGGGUGCAGAUGGGGAGCAAUGCAGGAUUUGAGCGUGGACUGCACAGAGUUCCUCCCAAGAGAAGAGGAAUGAGGCAGGCAGAUGGGAAACACAGGACAUUACAGAGUAUUAAUGCAGACCCUGUUGACUGAGAGACUUUCACCAAGUACACAGAUGACCCGAGGUCUAGAAACAGGAAGCAGAGGGGCGGGUGCCAGCCUCGGUCAGCUAGCCAUGUUAACCUACCACCUGGUCGCCUAAGGCAGCCAGACACCUCACU
rnacentral:sRNA from 1 species